UACGAAGGGGCUAGCGUUGCUCGGAAUUACUGGGCGUAAAGCGCACGUAGGCGGCUUGUUAAGUCGGAGGUGAAAUCCUGGAGCUCAACUCCAGAACUGCCUUCGAUACUGGCGAGCUCGAGUCCGGGAGAGGUGAGUGGAACUGCGAGUGUAGAGGUGAAAUUCGUAGAUAUUCGCAAGAACACCAGUGGCGAAGGCGGCUCUCUGGACCGUAACUGACGCUGAGGCGCGAAAGCAUGGGGAGCGAACAGG
rnacentral:rRNA from 1 species